UGAGGAAUAUUGGUCAAUGGGCGCAAGCCUGAACCAGCCAAGUCGCGUGCAGGAUGAAGUAUCUAUGGUAUGUAAACUGCUUUUAUUCGGGAAUAAAGUGCGGAACGAGUUCCGUUUUGUAUGUACCGAAGGAAUAAGGAUCGGCUAACUCCGUGCCAGCAGCCGCGGUAAUACGGAGGAUUCGAGCGUUAUCCGGAUUUAUUGGGUUUAAAGGGUGCGUAGGCGGAGCAUUAAGUCAGCGGUGAAAGUUUGCAGCUCAACUGUAAAAUUGCCGUUGAAACUGGUGCACUAGAGUGCGAACGAGGCAGGCGGAAUGUGAUGUGUAGCGGUGAAAUGCUUAGAUAUGUCACAGAACACCGAUUGCGAAGGCAGCUUGCUAGGACGCUACUGACGCUGAGGCACGAAAGCGUGGGGA
rnacentral:rRNA from 1 species